AGCCCCCGGAGGCUGGCAGGA
rnacentral:misc_RNA from 1 species